AGCGAACGCUGGCGGCAGGCCUAACACAUGCAAGUCGAACGAACUCUUCGGAGUUAGUGGCGGACGGGUGAGUAACACGUGGGAACGUGCCUUUAGGUUCGGAAUAACUCAGGGAAACUUGUGCUAAUACCGAAUGUGCCCUUCGGGGGAAAGAUUCAUCGCCUUUAGAGCGGCCCGCGUCUGAUUAGCUAGUUGGUGAGGUAAAGGCUCACCAAGGCGACGAUCAGUAGCUGGUCUGAGAGGAUGAUCAGCCACAUUGGGACUGAGACACGGCCCAAACUCCUACGGGAAGCAGCAGUGGGGAAUCUUGCGCAAUGGGCGAAAGCCUGACGCAGCCAUGCCGCGUGAAUGAUGAAGGUCUUAGGAUUGUAAAAUUCUUUCACCGGGGACGAUAAUGACGGUACCCGGAGAAGAAGCCCCGGCUAACUUCGUG
rnacentral:rRNA from 1 species